UACGUAGGGGGCAAGCGUUGUCCGGAUUUAUUGGGCGUAAAGAGCGUGUAGGCGGCCUGAAAGGUCAGCUGUGAAAACUCGAGGCUCAACCUCGAGACGUCGGUUGAAACCAUCUGGCUAGAGUCCGGAAGAGGAGUGUGGAAUUCCCGGAGUAGUGGUGAAAUGCGUAGAGAUCGGGAGGAACACCGGUGGCGAAGGCGGCCAGCUGGCGCUGACCUGACGCUGAGGCGCGAAGGCAUGGGGAGCGAACGGG
rnacentral:rRNA from 1 species